GCCGCUGUAGCUCAAUAGGUUAGAGCGUAGUCUUUAUAAGGCUUUGGUUCCUGGUUCGAGUCCAGGCAGCGGCA
rnacentral:tRNA from 1 species